rnacentral:rRNA from 1 species
UACGAAGGGGGCUAGCGUUGCUCGGAAUCACUGGGCGUAAAGCGCACGUAGGCGGAUUGCUAAGUCAGGGGUGAAAUCCUGGAGCUCAACUCCAGAACUGCCUUCGAUACUGGAGAGCUCGAGUCCGGGAGAGGUGAGUGGAACUGCGAAGUGUAGAGGUGAAAUCGUAGAUAUUCGCAAGAACACCAGUGGCGAAGGCG